AGGAGCAGCAGAGAAUUGUGGACUAUUCUUCUGGGCAGAUCAGCUUUAAGAGAACCAGCUCAGAUUGCGGCAGAAUUGAACAAACAUUGGCAGAGGCUCUUAGAGGGACUUUCAUACUACAAACCUCCAAGCACAACUUCAGCAGAAAAAAUAAAAGCUGAUAAAGAUGUAGCUGCUCCACUAAAAGAAUUGGGUCUGAGGGUCAGCAAGUUUUUGGUGA